rnacentral:rRNA from 1 species
CCCUUAGAUGUUCUGGGCCGCACGCGCGCUACAAUGGCAAACUCAGCGAGUCUCCUUUACCGACAGGUAUAGGAAAUCUUUUCAGUGUUUGCCGUGAUGGGGCUAGACCCUUGUAAUUAUUGGUCUCCAACGAGGAAUUCCUAGUAAACGCAGGUCAUUAACCUGCAUUGAUUACGUCCCUGCCCUUUGUACACACCGCCCGUCGCACCUACCGAUUGAAUGGUCCGGUGAAGUCUCCGGACUGAGUACUUUUAGUACUUGGGAAGUUGACUAAACCUUACUAUCUAGAGGAAGGUGAAGUCGUAACA